rnacentral:rRNA from 1 species
GACGAACGCUGGCGGCGUGCUUAACACAUGCAAGUCGAACGGAAAGGCCCCUUUGGGGGUACUCGAGUGGCGAACGGGUGAGUAACACGUGAGUAACCUGCCCUUGACUUCGGGAUAACUUCAGGAAACUGGGGCUAAUACCGGAUAGGAAUCCUUGCUGCAUGGUGGGGGUUGGAAAGCUUCGGCGGUUUUGGAUGGACUCGCGGCGUAUCAGCUUGUUGGUGGGGUAGUGGCUUACCAAGGCUUUGACGGGUAGCCGGCCUGAGAGGGCGACCGGCCACAUUGGGGCUGGGCGACGGCCCAGACUCCUACGGGGGGCAGCAGGUGGGAAUAUUGCACAAUGGGCGGAAGCCUGAUGCAGCAACGCCGCGGGCGGGAUGACGGCCUUCGGGUUGUAAACCGCUUUCAGCAGGGGCGAAGCUUGUGGUGACGGUACCUGCAGAAGAAGCACCGGCUAACUACGUG